CCACACCCACACUUGGCCAGGUUACACAACACAAGGAAGCCUGGAACACAAUGUCAACUGCUGAUGUUUCUAAAAAGUCCCUCUCUUCUGUUAGGAUGCAGCCCAGGAGCCAUCAUCUGCAUGAGGCCUUUCUGGAUCCCCCAACAGUUUUGUCAUGACAAUGAUGGGAAAAAGAAAUAGAAGAGAGACAAUAGGAGCAGAAAGAGGAAAAGGAGACCAUGGUGAC